rnacentral:tRNA from 1 species
UGAUAAUUAGUUUAAAUCAAAACAAGUGAUUUCGACUCACUAAAUUAUGUGUUAACAUAAUUAUCAA